rnacentral:rRNA from 1 species
ACAUGCAAGUCGAACGAUGAAGCUGGGUGCUUGCACUUGGUGGAUUAGUGGCGAACGGGUGAGUAACACGUGAGCAACCUGCCCCUGACUCUGGGAUAAGCGCUGGAAACGGCGUCUAAUACCGGAUAUGUACCGUGGUCGCAUGAUCUGCGGUUGGAAAGAUUUUUCGGUUGGGGAUGGGCUCGCGGCCUAUCAGCUUGUUGGUGAGGUAAUGGCUCACCAAGGCGUCGACGGGUAGCCGGCCUGAGAGGGUGACCGGCCACACUGGGACUGAGACACGGCCCAGACUCCUACGGGAGGCAGCAGUGGGGAAUAUUGCACAAUGGGCGGAAGCCUGAUGCAGCAACGCCGCGUGAGGGAUGACGGCCUUCGGGUUGUAAACCUCUUUUGGCAGGGAAGAAGCGAGAGUGACGGUACCUGCAGAAAAAGCGCCGGCUAACUACGUGCCAGCAGCCGCGGUAAUACGUAGGGCGCAAGCGUUAUCCGGAAUUAUUGGGCGUAAAGAGCUCGUAGGCGGUUUGUCGCGUCUGCUGUGAAAUCCCGAGGCUCAACCUCGGGCUUGCAGUGGGUACGGGCAGACUAGAGUGCGGUAGGGGAGAUUGGAAUUCCUGGUGUAGCGGUGGAAUGCGCAGAUAUCAGGAGGAACACCGAUGGCGAAGGCAGAUCUCUGGGCCGUAACUGACGCUGAGGAGCGAAAGGGUGGGGAGCAAACAGGCUUAGAUACCCUGGUAGUCCACCCCGUAAACGUUGGGAACUAGUUGUGGGGUCCUUUCCACGGAUUCCGUGACGCAGCUAACGCAUUAAGUUCCCCGCCUGGGGAGUACGGCCGCAAGGCUAAAACUCAAAGGAAUUGACGGGGACCCGCACAAGCGGCGGAGCAUGCGGAUUAAUUCGAUGCAACGCGAAGAACCUUACCAAGGCUUGACAUACACGAGAACGGGCCAGAAAUGGUCAACUCUUUGGACACUCGUGAACAGGUGGUGCAUGGUUGUCGUCAGCUCGUGUCGUGAGAUGUUGGGUUAAGUCCCGCAACGAGCGCAACCCUCGUUCUAUGUUGCCAGCACGUAAUGGUGGGAACUCAUGGGAUACUGCCGGGGUCAACUC